GCUGGGCUUGUUCAGCCUGGAGAAGAGGAGGCUCAGGGGCGACCUUAUUGCUCUCUACAGAGCCUCAGUUUAAGAACUGCAAACCCUACUGCAAGACAGAAAACUGAAUGUAAAGCAGUGCACUGAAUGCAAGUAAUCAAAAGCUAUUGUGUAAAAUGGCACACCCAAUAUCACAGGCUGAAAAUUGUUUAGUUGUAUUCACUUACUCUAUCUCUUUCCAGGGAACAGCAACAUAGGAACAUUGCAGUCUGUUGUUGACUCUCAGAUAAACAGUCUUAACACUAAUCAUUAAAAUAAAAGUUUUUAAUUUAAAGA